UUAAAUAGUAGCACUUUAUUUCAUGCUUACUACUGACUUAAUUUAUACAUUUAAAAAUAAAAUCUAGGAGUUUUGUAAAUAUGGAAAAACUAAUGAAUUAGUAUGUAGAGCUCAUUGGAUUGGACCCAAGUAAAAUGCUUUACAAUGAUCUCUUGAUCUUUUGAUAUUUAAAAGGCAACUUGUAUGAUUUUAGCUUUGCCACUUUUCUGUAAUUUAUUUAGUAAAGACUACCCAGUUGACUGUUUUGUACUCUGAGUUCGCUCAGCUAGCUUCAACCAGGUUUGGUUUACAGUAAUCAUUUCUGCUUUGCAUUUUUUGUACAUUACAUGAAUAUUUGGAAAUCCAUUUAUGUGAUUUUAAGUCAUAGGUAGGGGUUAAGUUAAUACUGCACCACAAGUAAGUUGAAGAGGGCAAAGUCCUGACACAAUCUACUUGUCAAGGGUCAGGAUUUAAGACACUAAAAACAGUUUACAUUAAGCUGUUUUUGUUUUCUAUCAUUAGAAUAUAUGUGCUUAAAAAAAUAAAAACUGUCCAACCCAGUGUUCUUAGAGCAUCAGGACAUUGCAAUUACAAUCCAUAUUGUAAUCUUUUCAAAUGAGAAAAGCUAGUCUUUAUUUUCUACAGUGUAGGCUUAAUUUUAGGACAGAUAAUUUGCUAUAUACUCAUUAGUGGUAUUUUUAAGUAGUAGUUUUACAAAUAUUUCUAUGUAGAGGGUGUAUGGGAUUUUUUUUUCUUGUAACAGGUGCUAUAUGUAAAUAUGAAGGGCGAAAGUCACUUAGUUAAAAGUCUAGUUUAUUUCGUAAUUAAAAUAUAGUUUUGCAUUUCUGCUGUCAUUUCACGUUUGAUAAUACUGAACUAGUAGCUCUCCCCCCAUUUCUCAAAAAUAGCUCUUUCCAUAUCCUUUGUUUCCAUAAAUAAGAGGUAAAGAAACUUAGGGUUUAUUUAAAAUGUGUAAGCUUGAAUUUGGUCAAUACUGGAUAAUUUGAAAUCAUACUCUGCAUCUGUCAAUACAGCUUACUGUAUGCUUGAAAGGCCUUGUGUAUUUGUCUUAAUUUCAGUGAAAAAUUAGAAUUCCUGCAGUUCAUUCAUGUAAAAAAAAAAUCUAUGAAUACUAACAGAGGAUAAAAAUGCCGAUUUGCAUUAAAACUGUUUAGUCCUAAGAGCGAUUUAUGUGAUGUGAAAUACUAUUACACAUAUUUGUUGACCAUAUUUCAUUUUUUUAAUUGAGAAAUAGUUGUUCAGGUACAAACGUGAAAAAACUCUAGCUGUGACUUUAACUGUUCAAUUGCAAAAUAAA
rnacentral:lncRNA from 1 species